CGUCAAGUCCUCAUGGCCCUUACGGGCUGGGCUACACACGUGCUACAAUGGCGGUGACAGUGGGUUGCGAUCCCGCGAGGGGGAGCUAAUCUCCAAAAAGCCGUCUCAGUUCGGAUUGCAGUCUGCAACUCGAGUGCAUGAAGUCGGAAUCGCUAGUAAUCGCGGAUCAGCAUGCCGCGGUGAAUACGUUCCCGGGCCUU
rnacentral:rRNA from 1 species